AAUUAUGAGGUCUCUGGAUGUUGA
rnacentral:piRNA from 1 species